UUUUUUUUUUUGUCUUUUUAGGGCCGCUCUCGCGGUCUAUGGAAGUUCCCAGGCUAGGGGUUGAAUCAGAGCUGUAGCCACAGGCCUACACCACAGCCACAGCAAUGUGGGAUCCAAUCCACAUCUGCCACUUACACCACAGCUCACAGCAAUACUGGAUCCUUAACCCCUGAGCAAGGCCAGGGAUCGAACCUGAGUCCUCAUGGAUACUAGUCUGGUUCGUUACUGCCGAACCACAAAGAGAACUCCUGCUUUUGUUUUCUAAUCUGUAAAUCAGCGAUACUAGUAACUACCUAAUGGGGUUACCCGGAGGACUAAAUGAGUUAACAUAUAUAAAGCCCUCAGAAUAGAACCUGACACAUUAGAAGUUCUGCGUGUUAGCUGUUAUUGUUGCUGUUGUUCUGAAUGCUAGGCAUAUAAAUUAUUAUUGUUAUUAUUGCUAUUAUUAGUCUGCUUUCUUUUAUAAUAAUUUAUAAAAAUCCUGAUGUGGACAAGUAGUUUUUAAUUCCUUUCUGAACUACACAGACCUGAGAAUAAUGUGGCCCAUUUGAGGAGUGUUGUGGGAACCGAAAGCAUGUGUAGGGCCUGCAGUGUGGCAGACGCUCGACCAAAGCUGGCAGUGAUAGUAACCUGCCAUACUGUUACUGAGAGUGGGGUCUGGCUGCUUGCCAUUCUGAAGCCAAUAAAGAGGCAAGGUUGGUGGAAAGGAAAGCUUGCGUCAUUUUGGAGACCCGGCAGGUUGGGGGGCCAACCCGGCAGGGGUGGGGGGCAGACUUGUGUCCAAAGGCUGACUCCCCCACUGGCAGUCAGAGCUUUUAAAGGGGAGUUUCAGGGGUGUAUAGGUGGAAGGAGGGGGCUACAGGCAGAAACAGCAGAGUCAGCUCUGAGAGUCGUCAUGGAGUGAUUGAUCACUGUCAACUUGAUUGUUUUAAUUACAAUUAGUCUUCAAUUCCAGGGUCAUUUUGUUCUUAUUAUCUUGAGGCCAGUUCUUGGAACUGUGCAAGAUGGAGCCACUUAUGUCAUGGCCACAGUCUGGUCAUCAUGCAGUUAACUUCUUCCUCCUGGUGGGGGUUUCGGUAUCUUACAAAACAGCUCACAGGAUAUGGCUCAGAAUAUUAUCUACAGCCCUUGAGGAAGAACUGAAGGUCCUUGACUUUGUUUAAUGACUAAACUAUUAUUAUUUUGUCCUGUAUGACUGUUUUCCUUUACUUCUGCAUUUUCUCACUUCUCUGAUUAAACUUAUGCUUUGGCUAAAGUUUCUCUGCAGACAAAAGGCAGUUGGAGGACAUGGGGGUAGGAGCAAGAAGUCCUGUCCUUUUCACUCUCACUAGGAAACAAAGAAAGAUGAAAAACCAAGACAUGUAGCAGCCUAGGCACUGCUACUAACUAGAUAUGAGGAUUGCAGCCUCUCCAGACAAAUUGCUUAAACCCUCUUGGUCUAAUUCCUCACAAAAUUUCUACAAAUUGAAAAGUUUAGAGCUGGCUAUUCUUUGAGGUAACUGUCAACUCUAACAUUCUGUUGUACUCGAAGAGCAGUGACUGCCUGGAAGAGAUCGAACUCUCAUCAGGAUCUUAGUGAAUACUGUCGUCUGGUGACUGCUGGAAAAAAAAAAGAAAGAAUUGGAAGAAAGGGUAGCAGACAGCUCUGCAAGGCAUGGUGGAGCUGAGCUCAGCCCUCCUCUGACCUCAUCUGAAACAGAUGUCAACAUCCCUUCUCCACCUCCAACCGAUGACUCCAUCUCUGUGCCCAGAGUUAUCACUGAGUCGUGACCUCGUGAGUUAAAUGUGCAUUAACUAGAAGUCAGAGAAGCAGAUUCUACUUGUUGCUCCAGUACCAACCAGGUGGAAGUCCUAACAUCUCAGUACCCCAAGAUCCACCCCUCUCCAAAACGAGAAGGACAGUUUAUCUGCCUUGAGCAUACUUCCCAGCAAUCCUGGGAAGGUACAUGACUUUGACUUAGUAAAUGAACUUUAGGAACUAAGGAAUGUCCGAGGAAAAGAAAAUGGAGACACACUGAAUCAACUUCAGGCUGACUUUUAAAGACCAGAAAUGAAGUUUCCUAGUGGCGCAGAGGGUUAAGGAUCCGGUAUUGUCACUGCUGUGGUUCUGGUCACUCCUAUGGCACGGGUUUAUCCCUGGAUCCGGAACUUCCACAUGCUGCAGGCAUGGCCAAAAAGAAAAAAAAAAGACAAGAAAUAUAUAUUACACCAUUUAAAUGAGAUCUUCAUUAGAAAAAAAAGAUCAGUGCAAACUAGAGGUGGCCUCAGUGAGUUGAUAGCGGUAGUGUCAACUAAUAGAACUGGAAGCCCAACGUGGAUAAACUAAAAACUGAUAUAUGUAAGCAUCCUGUCCAGUCCCUCAGAGAGCUUCAGAUUCUCUCCCAAGGUUCUCAGCUUCCCUAGCAUUCACAGUCCCCGUGUGUCGGGGCCUUCUAAGGGAAUGUAUUGCUGGUAAAUUUGCAUACAUUAGCAUUAUCAAGAAUACACAAUGAUCUUAUUAUUAUGUAAGCAGCCUCAGUUUUAACAGGCUGUCAGUCAACUCCCUAGAGGCUUGGCAGCAUCUAGUUUGUUGGCAGAUAGAACAUUCCAACCUGCUUUUUCCUGUCAUGUUUCUGACAAACAUUAUCAUAGCCAGGUGCCUUUUUGAGCCGUCACCUCAUCUAAGGCAUCUGCCUUAUCUAUCAAGAGGAGCACCCAUUAAGAAUUGGGGACAGUAUUUCAGCAGGUAAUUAACCGAGCUAAAUGAGCAUAUAAAUUUGUUUCCAAUUCAGCUUUCCAUUUCUUUUCCCAGCUGCUAAUAGAGGGAGCAGAGUCAGUAAUGUGUUAUGAAUGGAUGAUGUGUGAGGUUAUGUCUUAAUAAAAAACACAUGUCCAUGCAGAUCUUUACAGCCAACAAUUAUGAGAACUCUGACAAUUUUAAAACAUCCACAACACAUCCAAAAAAGCACUAUCUGGUAUUUUAUGAUUGAUUAUAAAUCUGUGUUUUUUAAAAGGAGAUUUUUAAAAAUGCAUUUGCAGUCAGAGCCAAACACACUCAAAAGUCACAGGAUGCCUCCCCUCGGAGCCUCUACAAAUCUCAGCACCUGACCAUGACCUCACCUCCCUUAAAUGUCCCAAACCAAGACAUUCUCCAGAAGGACACUUCUCAACACACUUUAUUUCAAAAGGAGUAGGAAUGAGGACAAUGUCUUUAAGUUUGGACCUUUUUUUUUU
ensembl:lncRNA